rnacentral:SRP_RNA from 1 species
GCUGGGCGUGGUGGCACAUGCCUGUAGUUCUAGCUACUUGGGAGGCUGAGGCAGGAGAAUCACUUGAACCUGGGAGGUGGAGGUUGCAGUGAGCAGAGAUCGCGCCAUUGCACUCCAGCCUGGUCAACAGAGUGAGACUCUGUACUACNNNNNNNNNNAGUGCAAUGGCGCGAUCUCUGCUCACUGCAACCUCCACCUCCCAGGUUCAAGCGAUUCUCAUGCCUCAG